rnacentral:rRNA from 1 species
UACGGGGGGGGCAAGCGUUGUUCGGAAUUACUGGGCGUAAAGGGCUCGUAGGCGGCCAACUAAGUCGGAUGUGAAAUCCCCAGGCUCAACCUGGGAACUGCAUCCGAUACUGGAUGGCUUGAAUUCGGGAGAGGGAUGCAGAAUUCCAGGUGUAGCGGUGAAAUGCGUAGAUAUCGGGAGGAACACCAAUGGCGAAGGCAGCUCGCUGGGACGGUACUGACGCUGAGACGCGAAAGCGUGGGGAGCAAACAGG